rnacentral:rRNA from 1 species
AUUGAACGCUGGCGGCAGGCCUAACACAUGCAAGUCGAGCGGAUGACGGGAGCUUGCUCCUUGAUUCAGCGGCGGACGGGUGAGUAAUGCCUAGGGAUCUGCCUGGUAGUGGGGGACAACGUUUCGAAAGGAACGCUAAUACCGCAUACGUCCUACGGGAGAAAGCAGGGGACCUUCGGGCCUUGCGCUAUCAGAUGAGCCUAGGUCGGAUUAGCUAGUUGGUGGGGUAAUGGCUCACCAAGGCGACGAUCCGUAACUGGUCUGAGAGGAUGAUCAGUCACACUGGAACUGAGACACGGUCCAGACUCCUACGGGAGGCAGCAGUGGGGAAUAUUGGACAAUGGGCGAAAGCCUGAUCCAGCCAUGCCGCGUGUGUGAAGAAGGUCUUCGGAUUGUAAAGCACUUUAAGUUGGGAGGAAGGGCGGUAAGUUAAUACCUUGCUGUUUUGACGUUACCGACAGAAUAAGCACCGGCUAACUCUGUGCCAGCCGCCGCCGUAACAC